rnacentral:tRNA from 1 species
GGGUAAGUGGCUGAGUGGUUUAAAGCGUUUAACUUGAAAUUAAAUAUGUGAACAACAUGCGGAGGUUCGAAUCCUUUCUUGCCCG